GGCGGUUCUCGGGUGACGCACCCCAGAAUUGGGCUCCCUUCUUUGUGGUCCCGGGUGCGUCACCUGAGAACCACA
rfam:Myotis lucifugus cont2.69474, whole genome shotgun sequence.